AGCGAACGCUGGCGGCAGGCUUAACACAUGCAAGUCGAACGGGCGUAGCAAUACGUCAGUGGCAGACGGGUGAGUAACGCGUGGGAACGUACCCUUUGGUUCGGAACAACACAGGGAAACUUGUGCUAAUACCGGAUAAGCCCUUACGGGGAAAGAUUUAUCGCCGAAGGAUCGGCCCGCGUCUGAUUAGCUUGUUGGUGAGGUAACGGCUCACCAAGGCGACGAUCAGUAGCUGGUCUGAGAGGAUGAUCAGCCACACUGGGACUGAGACACGGCCCAGACUCCUACGGGAGGCUG
rnacentral:rRNA from 1 species